GAUCAUGGCUCAGGACGAACGCUGGCGGCGUGCUUAACACAUGCAAGUCGAACGCUGAAGGCUCAGCUUGCUGGGCUGGAUGAGUGGCGAACGGGUGAGUAACACGUGAGUAACCUGCCCUCUUCUUUGGGAUAACGGUCGGAAACGGCUGCUAAUACCGGGUAUUCACUGUCCUUCGCAUGGGGGGUGGGUGGAAAGGUUUUUCUUGGUGGGGGAGUGGGCGUCGCGGCCUAUCAGCUUGUUGGUGGGGUGA
rnacentral:rRNA from 1 species